AGGAAUGUAGCAGCUCUCAUGAUGUUUGGUGGGUGAGUGCGUUGUUGUU
rnacentral:SRP_RNA from 12 species